rnacentral:rRNA from 1 species
GUAGGGAGCAAGCGUUGUCCGGAUUUACUGGGUGUAAAGGGUGCGUAGGCGGCUAGGCAAGUCAGACGUGAAAACCAUGGGCUCAACCUGUGGACUGCGUUUGAAACUGUUUAGCUUGAGUGAAGUAGAGGUAGGCGGAAUUCCCGGUGUAGCGGUGAAAUGCGUAGAGAUCGGGAGGAACACCAGUGGCGAAGGCGGCCUACUGGGCUUUAACUGACGCUGAGGCACGAAAGCAUGGGUAGCAAGCAGGAUUAGAUACCCUGGUAGUCCAUGCCGUAAACGAUGAUUACUAGGUGUGGGGGGUCUGACCCCCUCCGUGCCGGAGUUAACACAAUAAGUAAUCCACCUGGGGAGU